rnacentral:lncRNA from 1 species
AUUGAUGAGAAUAUUUUUCAUAGAUCCAUUAUCAUUCAAAGAGGUUAAGAAAAUAUUUUUGUAUUUUUUGAAUACCAAAAACUAUUUUAAAUGAAUUAAAAAGAACCAGAAAAGAGAAAAUUCAUAAAAAAUAUCAAAUGAUAAAAUAAAAAAAUAUUAAAAUUCAUUUUUAGAAACUAGAAAUUAAAAGAGAAAUAAUACAAUUGGUUUCACAUUUUUUGGACCAAUAAUGAAUGAGAUAUGAUUUUUUGAAAUGAAAUGGAAUAAAAGAAAUAAAAUUAAAAUUAAAAUCAGAAAAUAAAAAUGGGAAAAAGUGUGAGGC